rnacentral:rRNA from 1 species
UUUCACUGAGAGUUUGAUCCUGGCUCAGGAUGAACGCUGGCGGCAUGCCUAAUACAUGCAAGUC